rnacentral:rRNA from 1 species
GACGAACGCUGGCGGCGUGCUUAACACAUGCAAGUCGAACGAGGGCGUUCCUUCGGGGGCGUUUUAGUGGCGAACGGGUGAGUAACACGUAAGUAACCUGCCCUUCAUCUUUGGGAUAACUCGCGGAAACGUGGGCUAAUACCGAAUAUUCUUUUCCUGCUGCAUGGUGGGGUUUGGAAAGGCCUCUUUUGGGGUUGGUGGGGGAUGGGCUUGCGGCCUAUCAGUUUGUUGGUGGGGUGAUGGCCUACCAAGGCGUGGACGGGUAACCGGCCUGAGA